rnacentral:rRNA from 1 species
UACGGGGGGGGCAAGCGUUGUUCGGAAUUACUGGGCGUAAAGGGCGCGUAGGCGGUUUCGGAAGUCAAGGGUGAAAGCCCCGAGCUCAACUCGGGAACUGCCUUUGAAACCACGGAACUAGAGUGUUGGAGAGGAAAGCGGAAUUUCCAGUGUAGCGGUGAAAUGCGUAGAUAUUGGAAGGAACAUCUGAGGCGAAGGCGGCUUUCUGGACAGACACUGACGCUGAGGCG